rnacentral:rRNA from 1 species
AUUGAACGCUGGCGGCAGGCCUAACACAUGCAAGUCGAACGAGUGGCGGACGGGUGAGUAAUGUCUGGGAAACUGCCCGUUGGAGGGGGAUAACUACUGGAAACGGCAGCUAAUACCGCAUACCAUCGGAUUUGCCCAGAUGGGAUUAGCUAGUAGGUGGGGUAACGGCUCACCUAGGCGACGAUCCCUAGCUGGUCUGAGAGGUUGACCAGCCACACUGGAACUGAGACACGGUCCAGAAUCCUACGGGAGGCAGCAGUGGGGAAUAUUGCACAAUGGGCGCAAGCCUGAUGCAGCCAUGCCGCGUGUAUGAAGAAGGCCUUCGGGUUGUAAAGUACUGUCAGCGAGGAGGCGUUACUCGCAGAAGAAGCACCGGCUAACUCCGUGCCAGCAGCCGCGGUAAUUC